rnacentral:rRNA from 1 species
AUUGAACGCUGGCGGCAGGCCUAACACAUGCAAGUCGAGCGGAGGAAGCGUGCUUGCUCCUGGAUUCAGCGGCGGACGGGAGGGUAAUGCCUAGGAAUCUCCCUGGUAGUGGGAGAUAACGUCCGGAAACGGGCGCUCAUACCGCAUACGUCCUGCGCGUGAAAGUGGGGGAUCUUCGGACCUCACGCUAUCAGAUGAGCCUAGGUCGGAUUAGUUAGUUGGUGGGGUAAGGGCCUACCAAGGCGACGAUCCGUAACUGGUCUGAGAGGAUGAUCAGUCACACUGGAACUGAGACACGGUCCAGACUCCUACGGGAGGCGGCAGUGGGGAAUAUUGGACAAUGGGCGAAAGCCUGAUCCAGCCAGGCCGCGUGUGUGAAGAAGGUCUUCGGAUUGUAAAGCACUUUAAGUUGGGAGGAAGGGCAGUAAGUUAAUACCUUGCUGUUUUGACGUUACCAACAGAAUAAGCACCGGCUAACUUCGUG